AGCGAACGCUGGCGGCAGGCCUAACACAUGCAAGUCGAGCGGCCGUAGCAAUACGGCAGCGGCAGACGGGAGAGUAACACGUGGGAACGCGCCCUUCGGUUCGGGAUAACUCAGGGAAACUUGAGCUAAUACCGGAUACGCCCUUACGGGGAAAGAUUUAUUGCCGAAGGAACGGCCCGCGUCCGAUUAGCUUGUUGGUGAGGUAACGGCUCACCAAGGCGACGAUCGGUAGCUGGUCUGAGAGGAUGACCAGCCUCACUGGGACUGAGACACGGCCCAGACUCCUACGGGAGGCAGCAGUGGGGAAUAUUGGACAAUGGGCGCAAGCCUGAUCCAGCCAUGCCGCGUGGGUGAUGAAGGCCCUAGGGUUGUAAAGCCCUUUCAGCGGGGAAGAUAAUGACGGUACCCGCAGAAGAAGCCCCGGCUAACUUCGUGCCAGCCGCCGCAGUAA
rnacentral:rRNA from 1 species